rnacentral:piRNA from 1 species
UUGGGGUCUCCUGCUGUAGAAAAGCAAUA